rnacentral:rRNA from 1 species
UACGAAGGGUGCAAGCGUUAAUCGGAAUUACUGGGCGUAAAGGGUGCGUAGGCGGUUGUUUAAGUCUGUCGUGAAAUCCCCGGGCUCAACCUGGGAAUGGCGAUGGAUACUGGACAGCUAGAGUGUGUCAGAGGAUGGUGGAAUUCCCGGUGUAGCGGUGAAAUGCGUAGAGAUCGGGAGGAACAUCAGUGGCGAAGGCGGCCAUCUGGGACAACACUGACGCUGAGGAGCGAAAGCGUGGGGAGCGAACAGG